rnacentral:tRNA from 2 species
UAAAAGGUCGGGAUAGCUCA